rnacentral:rRNA from 1 species
GAUGAACGCUAGCGACAGGCCUAACACAUGCAAGUCGAGGGGCAGCACAUGAGUAGCAAUACGAUGGUGGCGACCGGCGCACGGGUGAGUAACACGUAUGCAACCUGCCUGUAAGAGGGGAAUAACCCGGAGAAAUUCGGACUAAUACCGCAUAAUACCACGAGACUGCAUGGUUUUGUGGUUAAACAUUUAUGGCUUACAGAUGGGCAUGCGUAUGAUUAGAUAGUUGGUAGGGUAACGGCCUAACCAAGUCUACGAUCAUUAGGGGUUCUGAGAGGAAGGUCCCCCACACUGGUACUGAGACACGGACCAGACUCCUACGGGAGGCAGCAGUGAGGAAUAUUGGUCAAUGGGCGAGAGCCUGAACCAGCCAAGUCGCGUGAAGGAAGAAGGUUCUAUGGAUUGUAAACUUCUUUUGCAGGGGAAUAAAGGGACGGUACGUGUACUGUUUUGUAUGUACCUUGCGAAUAAGGAUCGGCUAACUCCGUGCCAGCAGCCGAC